UGUAACGGGGCUAAACCAUGCACCGAAGCUGCGGCAGCGAACGUAUCACUUAAAUUUGUUUGAGUGAAUAACGAUUGACGGAACGAAGUGACGUCAAUGCGUUAAUGAAAGUCGAGGCGAAAGCACGACAAAGCGAAUUUAAGGAUACGUUCGUUGGGUAGGGGAGCGUUCUGUAAGCCUGCGAAGGUGUACUGUGAGGUAUGCUGGAGGUAUCAGAAGUGCGAAUGCUGACAUAAGUAACGAUAAUGCGGGUGAAAAACCCGCACGCCGGAAGACCAAGGGUUCCUGUCCAACGUUAAUCGGGGCAGGGUGAGUCGACCCCUAAGGCGAGGCUGAAAAGCGUAGUCGAUGGGAAACGGGUUAAUAUUCCCGUACUGGUGGUAACUGCGAUGGGGGAACGGAGAAGGCUAGGUUGUCCGGGCGACGGUCGUCCCGGUUCAAGCAGGUAGGCAGAGUGAUUAGGCAAAUCCGGUCACUUAAUGCUGAGAUGUGAUGACGAACCACCAAGGUGGUGAAGCAAUUGAUGCCCCGCUUCCAGGAAAAGCCUCUAAGCUUCAGGUUACCAACAAUCGUACCCCAAACCGACACAGGUGGUCAGGUAGAGAAUACUCAGGCGCUUGAGAGAACUCGGGUGAAGGAACUAGGCAAAAUGGUGCCGUAACUUCGGGAGAAGGCACG
rnacentral:rRNA from 1 species